UUCAAGAGAACGUGAAAUCGUUGAAGUGGAACCGGAGAGAGUUGACGUAGUAUGGUGGAUAAGUAUUGCAAGAAUCGCUUCAAACAAUGAAUGUGAUCGAGUAAUAUGUACGUCACCAAAGACUGCGCUGACAGCAUCGACUACACGCUCUGAACUGUGUUGACAUGUUGCCUACUCUAGUAUAUAGAAUGGUGUCUUGUGUUACGUGGUGAAGUUUGUUGUUAUGUUGUUGAUGUUGAUAAGUAUGAUUAUACACCGAGUAUAAUUAUGUCAGUGUAAAAGUCAACCACCUCUCCGACCCGUCUUGAAACACGGACCGAGGAGUGUAACUUGUACGCGAGUCAUUGGGUGGAAAAACCUUAAGGCGAAACGAAAGUGAAGGCACGGUUAACCGGCUGACAUGGGAAACGUGCGGUAUUGUUAGCGAGACGUUACACCAUGGCCCUGUCUUGUCUGCAUGCAGAUGGGCAGCGGUAGAGCGUACAGGUUGCGACCCGAAAGAUGGUGAACUAUGCCUGAGCAGGACGAAGUCAGAGGAAACUCUGGUGGAAGUCCGUAUCGGUUCUGACGUGCAAAUCGAUCGAUAGACUUGGGUAUAGGGGCGAAAGAC
rnacentral:rRNA from 1 species